rnacentral:rRNA from 1 species
CAAUAGCGUAUAUUUAAGUUGUUGCAGUUAAAAAGCUCGUAGUUGGAUUUCGGGUGGGACGCAGCGGUCUCGCAUUGCGUUUGUACUGCUGCAGCCCUCCUUCUUGCCGGGGGCGGCCUCUCGGACUUCACUGUCUGGGGGUCAGAAUCGGCGAUGUUAGUUUGAGUAAAUUAGAGUGUUCAAAGCAAGCUUACGCUCUGAAUAUAAUAGCAUGGGAUAACACGACAGGACUCUGGCCUAUCGUGUUGGUCUAUAGGACCAGAGUAAUGAUUAAGAGGGACAGUCGGGGGCAUUCGUAUUCCGUUGUCAGAGGUGAAAUUCUUGGAUUUACGGAAGACGAACAUCUGCGAAAGCAUUUGCCAAGGAUGUUUUCAUUGA